rnacentral:rRNA from 1 species
UACGAAGGGUGCAAGCGUUAAUCGGAAUUACUGGGCGUAAAGGGUGCGUAGGCGGUUGUUUAAGUCUGUCGUGAAAUCCCCGGGCUCAACCUGGGAAUGGCGAUGGAUACUGGGCAGCUAGAGUGUGUCAGAGGAUGGUGGAAUUUCCGGUGUAGCAGUGAAAUGCGUAGAGAUCGGGAGGAACACCAGUGGCGAAGGCGGCAUCCUGGACCGAUAUUGACGCUGAGGCGCGAAAGCCAGGGGAGCAAACGGG